rnacentral:rRNA from 1 species
AUUGAACGCUGUCGGCAUGCCUUACACAUGCAAGUCUAACGGUAACAGAUCCUCGGAUGCUGACGAGUGGCGAACGGGUGAGUAAUAUAUCUGAACGUGCCUAGUCGUGUGGGAUAACUACUCGAAAGAGUGGCUAAUACCGCAUUAGUUCUACGGAUGAAAGCAGGGGAUCGCAAGACCUUGUGCCACUAGAGCGGCCGUUCGCAGAUUAGGAAGUGGGUGGGAUAAAAGCUUACCAAGCCGACGAUCUGUAGCUUGUCUGAGAGGACGAUCAGCCACACUGGGAAUGAGACACGGCCCAGACUCCUACGGGAGGUAGCAGUGGGGAAUUUUGGACAAUGGGCGCAAGCCUGAUCCAGCAAUGCUGCGUGCAGGAUGAAGGCCUUCGGGUUGUAAACUGCUUUUGUACGGAACGAAAAGCCCUGGGUUAAUACCCUGGGGUCAUGACGGUACCGUAAGAAUAAGCACCGGCUAACUACGUGCCAGCAGCCGCCGCAGUAA